ACACAAUUCACGUCUUUAUGAAUAUCUUUUAUUUGUGCUCCCAUUCUAAUGUGGGGAGAUUCAUUCCUACCCCCUUGUCUAAAAGCCUACUAGAAGCCCUGCUUUACCCUUGAGAUGUUACAGGAAUGCCCAACUGGGAGUUGGACCAAGGAAAGGAUGGAAUAAGGAAUGAUGCCUAGCUGUGAGUAACUGUGGUGUUUGAGGGCGAAGAGUGUGGUGGCAUUGGGGUUAAGGUGGAGAGAUGGGUUUUUUUAGUAUGCAUAUUCUUAUCUUUUUUUUUAUAUAUGUUUUUAUUGGAAUUCUGCAAUUAAAAUUGAAGUUUUGCAUAUGGGAAUUUGUUUUUGUGAUGGAUUUUGUAAUUUGUUGAUUUGUUCAUAUUGAAAUUCUAUAAUUGAAAUUGUGCAGAUGGG
rnacentral:misc_RNA from 1 species